GUAGGCGUAGCUUAGUCGGCCUAAAGCGCCGGCCUGUCCAGCCGGAGAUCGCGGGUUCAAAUCCCGUCGCCUACGCCA
rnacentral:tRNA from 1 species